GGAGAGAUGGCAGAGUGGUUUAUUGCAUCGGUCUUGAAAACCGAAGUGCUGUCAACGGCACCGUGGGUUCGAAUCCCUCUCUCUCCGCCA
rnacentral:tRNA from 1 species